rnacentral:rRNA from 1 species
GUCUACGGCCAUACCACGUUGAAAGCACCGGUUCUCGUCCGAUCACCGAAGUUAAGCAACGUCGGGCCCGGUUAGUACUUGGAUGGGUGACCGCCUGGGAAUACCGGGUGCAGUAGACUU